AGAGUUUGAUUAUGGCUCAGGAUGAACGCUAGCGAUAGGCCUAACACAUGCAAGUCGAGGGGCAGCACAUGAAGUAGCAAUACGGAUGGUGGCGACCGGCGCACGGGUGAGUAACGCGUAUGCAACCUGCCUACAACAGGGGAAUAACCCGUUGAAAGACGGACUAAUACCCCAUAACACAGGGAUCCCGCAUGGGAAUAUUUGUUAAAGAUUUAUCGGUUGUAGAUGGGCAUGCGUUCCAUUAGCUUGUUGGUGAGGUAACGGCUCACCAAGGCAACGAUGGAUAGGGGAACUGAGAGGUUUAUCCCCCACACUGGUACUGAGACACGGACCAGACUCCUACGGGAGGCAGCAGUGAGGAAUAUUGGUCAAUGGACGCAAGUCUGAACCAGCCACGUCGCGUGAAGGAAGACGGCCCUACGGGUUGUAAACUUCUUUUGUAAGGGAAUAAAGUGCAGUACGUGUACUGUUUUGCAUGUACCUUACGAAUAAGGAUCGGCUAACUCCGUGCCAGCAGCCGCGGUAAUACGGAGGAUCCGAGCGUUAUCCGGAUUUAUUGGGUUUAAAGGGUGCGCAGGCGGGAGAUUAAGUCGGCGGUGAAAUUUUGCAGCUCAACUGUAAAAGUGCCUUCGAAACUGGUUUUCUUGAGUGUGGAUGAAGUAGGCGGAAUUUGUGGUGUAGCGGUGAAAUGCAUAGAUAUCACGAGGAACUCCGAUUGCGCAGGCAGCUUACUAAACCAUAACUGACGCUCACGCACGAAGGCGUGGGGAUCAAACAGGAUUAGAUACCCUGGUAGUC
rnacentral:rRNA from 1 species